GUGCAGCUGACGAGUCCCAAAUAGGAUGGAAUGCACGUCCUGGAU
rnacentral:hammerhead_ribozyme from 1 species